GGGUGUGAGAGUGAUCUGGCUACAACAUCUGUCACCCCAUUGAUUGCCAGGCUGGCUUCAUUAGUUCUGGCUGGCUAGGCUGGGGUAUCCUUCCUCCUUAACUUCCCGUGUACAUCUUUUCUUCAGCUGCAUGCUGUCAAGAAGAAUAUAGUUCUUAGCAGGGAAUAACCCCACUUGACUCAAGAACCCCCUAAACAAUCUCUUAGUUCUGACAUAUUUGUUCACCUUAAAGA
ensembl:misc_RNA 7SK 7SK RNA